GCGCGCGUGGCUGAGCGGUCCAGCGCGGGCCUGCAAAGCCAUUCACACGGGUUCGAAUUUCCGUCGCUCGCC
rnacentral:tRNA from 1 species